AUGCAAAGCGAACGCGGCGAACUGAAACAUCUAAGUAGCUGCAGGAAAAUAAAUCAACCGAGAUUCCCAAAGUAGUGGCGAGCGAAAUGGGAAGAGCCUGUACGUGAUAGUCGAUUGAAUAGUGGAACACUCUGGAAAUGGUGGCCAUAGCGGGUGAUAGCCCCGUACACGAAAUUCAAACGGUGGUACUAAGCGUACGACAAGUAGGGCGGGACACGAGAAAUCCUGUCUGAAUAUGGGGGGACCAUCCUCCAAGGCUAAAUACUCGUA
rnacentral:rRNA from 1 species